GGCACUGUAGCUCAGUUGGUAGAGCACAUGCUUAACAUGUUGCGCCACGUGAACGCAUGUUGUCGUCGGUUCGAGCCCGGCCAGAGUCA
rnacentral:tRNA from 1 species